GAUGAACGCUGGCGGCGUGCUUAACACAUGCAAGUCGAACGGAAAGGCUCCUGCUUGCAGGGGUACUCGAGUGGCGAACGGGUGAGUAACACGUGGGUGAUCUGCCCUGCACUUCGGGAUAAGCCUGGGAAACUGGGUCUAAUACCGGAUAGGACGAUGGUUUGGAUGCCAUUGUGGAAAGUUUUUUCGGUGUGGGAUGAGCUCGCGGCCUAUCAGCUUGUUGGUGGGGUAAUGGCCUACCAAGGCGUCGACGGGUAGCCGGCCUGAGAGGGUGUACGGCCACAUUGGGACUGAGAUACGGCCCAGACUCCUACGGGAGGCAGCAGUGGGGAAUAUUGCACAAUGGGCGCAAGCCUGAUGCAGCGACGCCGUGUGGGGGAUGACGGCCUUCGGGUUGUAAACUCCUUUCGCUAGGGACGAAGCGCAAGUGACGGUACCUGGAGAAGAAGCACCGGCUAACUACGUG
rnacentral:rRNA from 1 species